UGCGCCUGCGCCCUGCGUGCACCGCGUCUCCGCCUCCGGGCCGGCACCGCGGACCCGCGCGCUCGGGAUGGUGCGGCGCUGCCAGGUGCCACCCGGUCAGCUGGAGGCGCCUCGGGUCACCUGUCUGAGGAGCCAGCGUCGGGGUCCAAGUGCUGUACUUUGCAAAGAGUGCUGAAAUCACAGGGAUCCGUUCGGAGACCAUCUCUGUG